AUUGUUCAGUCAGUCGAGUGUGGCGCUAACAACGCUAAGGUCACGGGUUCGAUUCCCGUU
rnacentral:tRNA from 1 species